CUGCUGUUCACAUCGUGUCAACAUUUCAGAUGAUGGUUUCUCCACUUGUGCCUUUUCAAGUACUUUCAAGAGCUCUUUCGAAUUUUCUUUGUCUUCUUGUAAUUGUAAUCUUAGUUUCUGAUUAUGUUCUUUUUCUGCUUCCAGGAGUUUUAGUAGGUUACAGAGCUCAGUUUUCAUUGCUUCAGUUUCCUGUCGUCUGUCCUCAAGCUGUUGCUUCAGCUGAUCUGUCUCAAACUUUGUCACUUCUUGCAAAUUGUCAUAGUCAUCCUGAAGGCUUGCUUUUUCUUCAAGAUUCUUUUCAUAUUCCAGCCUGACACUGUCCAGCUUGAACUGUACGUCCAUAUGUCUAUCAGAAAGCUGACUCAUCUCCUUCUCUUGCUUUUCC
rnacentral:lncRNA from 1 species